UUAAAGCUAAGCACCUCCUAUAGAGCACCAGGCACAUCCUGGCCAGGAUUGGAGGAACAUGUUGCUUAAAAAAUUUAUAUUCACAGUCAAAAAAAAAUAUAUAUUCAUUACUUUUUGGCCAUUUAGCAUCGCAGUCGCAUAUAAAGUUUUAAACUCUUUUCAUCGUGGAGAAAUCAAAUUGGCAUAUCAUUUGAAAUUACAAGUUUACUAAAGCAUAUUAAAACAAUUAGUUUCACUUAUUAGCAAAAGAAAUGCCUACCUAUAUAAAGGACAAUUUCAAAUGUUCUUAAAAAAACGAUAAGGAUGAAAUUUUUAGUAGUUUCAGCUGUAAUUGCUGGACUUUGCCUGAGUGUAAGCCAGGCUGAACCUUCACUAAGAAGAGCCUGGCCAGAUUUAGAGAAACUUAUUGAUUAAUUUUAACAUUAUGUCAAACACUGUUUCAGUUUCAAAGCGAAAAACUACACUGAAAUCAAUUUAAAAGGGAUAGUUCUAAGUUCUCUAGUUUUAAAAUAAAUUAAACAAAAUAACUUUUCUUAUCCCAAAAAGCAAUAGAAAUGGCUCACUAUAUAAGGCACAAUUGCAAAUAUUUUUCAAAAAUCGAUCGAGAUGAACUUUCUAGCUGUUUUUGCUGUAGUCGCUGCACUGUGCCUGGGUAUAAGCCAGGCCGAACCUUCAGUGAGAAAACCCCGUCCUGAUUUGGAGACACUUAUUGAUUAAGAAAUUAAGAGUUGUAGUCAAUAAAAAAAAAAUGUAUUAAUGUGAA